GAUGAACGCUGGCGGCGUGCCUAAUACAUGCAAGUCGAGCGAACGGACGAGAAGCUUGCUUCUCUGAUGUUAGCGGCGGACGGGUGAGUAACACGUGGAUAACCUACCUAUAAGACUGGGAUAACUUCGGGAAACCGGAGCUAAUACCGGAUGAUAUUUUGAACCGCAUGGUUCAAAAGUGAAAGACGGUCUUGCUGUCACUUAUAGAUGGAUCCGCGCUGCAUUAGCUAGUUGGUAAGGUAACGGCUUACCAAGGCAACGAUGCAUAGCCGACCUGAGAGGGUUGUUGGCCCACAUGGAACUGAGACCCGGUCCAGACUCCCACGGGAGGCAGCAGUAGGGAAUCUUCCGCAAUGGGCGAAAGCCUUACGGAGCAACGCCGCGUGAGUGAUUAAGGUUUUUGGAUCGUAAAACUCUGGUAUUAGGGAAGAAAAUAUGUGUAAGUAAAUGUGCCCAUCUUGACGGUACCUAAUCAGAAAGGCACGGCUAACUACGUG
rnacentral:rRNA from 1 species